rnacentral:rRNA from 1 species
GACGAACGCUGGCGGCGUGCUUAACACAUGCAAGUCGAACGGACAGGCCCUGCUUUUGUGGGGUGCUCGAGUGGCGAACGGGUGAGUAACACGUGAGUAACCUGCCCUUGACUUUGGGAUAACUUCAGGAAACUGGGGCUAAUACCGGAUAGGAGCUCCUGCUGCAUGGUGGGGGUUGGAAAGUUUCGGCGGUUGGGGAUGGACUCGCGGCUUAUCAGCUUGUUGGUGGGGUAGUGGCUUACCAAGGCUUUGACGGGUAGCCGGCCUGAGAGGGUGACCGGCCACAUUGGGACUGAGAUACGGCCCAGACGCCUACGGGAGGCAGCAGUGGGGAAUAUUGCACAAUGGGCGGAAGCCUGAGGCAGCAACGCCGCGUGCGGGAUGACGGCCUUCGGGUUGUAAACCGCUUUCGCCUGUGACGAAGCGUGAGUGACGGUAAUGGGUAAAGAAGCACCGGCUAACUACGUG